rnacentral:rRNA from 1 species
GACGAACGCUGGCGGCGUGCUUAACACAUGCAAGUCGAGCGGUAAGGCCCUUUCGGGGGUACGACGAGCGGCGAACGGGUGAGUAACACGUGGGUGACCUGCCCUCAGCUCUGGGAUAAGCCUGGGAAACCGGGUCUAAUACUGGAUAUGACUCCAUGACGCAUGUUGUGGGGUGGAAAGCCUUGUGCGGCUGAGGAUGGGCCCGCGGCCUAUCAGCUUGUUGGUGGGGUGANGGCCUACCAAGGCGACGACGGGUAGCCGGCCUGAGAGGGCGACCGGCCACACUGGGACUGAGACACGACCCAGACUCCUACGGGAGGCAGCAGUGGGGAAUCUUGCGCAAUGGGCGAAAGCCUGACGCAGCGACGCCGCGUGAGGGAUGACGGCCUGGUGU